GAUGAACGCUGGCGGCGUGCCUAAUACAUGCAAGUCGAGCGAACAGACGAGGAGCUUGCUCCGCGGACGUUAGCGGCGGGCGGGAGAGUAACACGAGGAUAACCUACCUAUAAGACGGGGAUAACUACGGGAAACCGGAGCUAAUACCGGAUAAUAUAUUGAACCGCAGGGGGCAAUAGAGAAAGACGGUGUUGCUGGCACGAAUAGAUGGAUCCGCGCCGGAUUAGCUAGUUGGGAAGGUAACGGGGUACCAAGGCAACGAUGCGUAGGCGACUUGAGAGGCGGGUCGCCCACCCGGGAACUGAGACGCGGUCCAGACUCCUACGGUACGCAGCAGUCGGGAAUGUUCCGCAAUGGUCGAAAGCCUUACGCAGCAACGCCGCGUGAGUGAUGAAGGUCUUCGGUUCGUAAAACUCUGUUAUUAGUGAAGAACAAAUGUGUCAUUAACUAUGCACGUCUUGACGGUACCUAAUCAGAAAGCCACGGCUAACUACGUG
rnacentral:rRNA from 1 species